rnacentral:tRNA from 1 species
UCCCUGGUGGUCCAGUGGUUAAGACUACGCUGCCAAUGCAGGGGGCCCAGGUUCAGUUCCUGGUCAGGGAA